GAUGAAGAACGUAGCGAAACGCGAUAAGUAAUGUGAAUUGCAGAAUCCAGUGAAUCAUCGAAUCUUUGAACGCACAUUGCGCCCGCCAGCAUUCUGGCGGGCAUGCCUGUUCGAGCGUCAUUUCAACCCUCGACCUCCCCUUGGGGAGGUCGGCGUUGGGGACCGGCAGCACACCGCCGGCCCUGAAAUGGAGUGGCGGCCCGUCCGCGGCGACCUCUGCGCAGUAAUACAGCUCGCACCGGGACCCCGACGCGGCCACGCCGUAAAACACCCAACUUCUGAACGUUGACCUCAAAUCAGGUAGGACUACCCGCUGAACUUAAGCAUAUCAAUAAGCGGAGGA
rnacentral:misc_RNA from 1 species